CCUACGGGGGGCAGCAGUGAGGAAUAUUGGUCAAUGGACGAGAGUCUGAACCAGCCAAGUAGCGUGAAGGAUGACUGCCCGAUGGGGUGUAAACUUCUUGUAUAAAGGAAUAAAACGAGGCACGUGUGCCUUUUUGCAUGUACUUUAUGAAUAAGGAUCGGCUAACUCCGUGCCAGCAGCCGCGGUAAUACGGAGGAUCCGAGCGUUAUCCGGAUUUAUUGGGUUUAAAGGGAGCGUAGAUUGGUUGUUCAGUCAGUUGUGAAAGUUUGCGGCUCAACCGUUAAAUUGCAAUUGAUACUGGCAGUCUUGAGUACAGUUGAGGUAGUCGGAAUUCGUGUUGUAGCGGU
rnacentral:rRNA from 1 species